AUGGCUUCCUCGGCCUCCCUGCAGAGCUUCCUCCCGCCCUCCGCCCACGCGGCGACGUCGUCGUCCCGGCACCGGCCCAGCCGCGCCCGCCCCUUCCAGUGCGCGGCCGUCUCCGCGCCGUCAUCCUCGGCCGCCUCGCCGUCGGCCUCGGCCGUCCCGGCGGAGCGGCUGGAGCCUCGCGUGGAGCAGCGGGAGGGCGGCUACUGGGUGCUCAAGGAGAAGUACCGCACCAGCCUGAACCCGCAGGAGAAGGUGAAGCUGGGCAAGGAGCCCAUGGCGCUCUUCACGGAGGGCGGCAUCAAGGAGCUCGCCAAGCUGCCCAUGGAGCAGAUCGACGCCGACAAGCUCACCAAGGAGGACGUCGACGUGCGGCUCAAGUGGCUCGGCCUCUUCCACCGCCGCAAGCAGCAGUAUGGGCGGUUCAUGAUGCGGCUGAAGCUGCCCAACGGCGUGACGACGAGCGAGCAGACGCGCUACCUGGCCGGCGUGAUCGAGAAGUACGGCAAGGAGGGGUGCGCCGACGUGACGACCCGGCAGAACUGGCAGAUCCGCGGCGUGACGCUGCCGGACGUGCCGGAGAUCCUGGAGGGGCUCCGCUCCGUUGGCCUCACCAGCCUGCAGAGCGGCAUGGACAACGUGCGCAACCCCGUCGGCAGCCCGCUCGCCGGCAUCGACCCCCUCGAGAUCGUCGACACGCGCCCCUACACCAACCUCCUCUCCUCCUACAUCACCAACAACUCCGAGGGCAACCUCGCCAUCACCAACCUUCCUAGGAAGUGGAACGUGUGCGUGAUCGGUACCCAUGACCUGUACGAGCACCCGCACAUCAACGACCUGGCGUACAUGCCGGCCGAGAAGGACGGCAAGUUCGGGUUCAACCUGCUGGUGGGCGGGUUCAUCAGCCCCAAGAGGUGGGGCGAGGCCCUGCCGCUCGACGCCUGGGUCCCCGGCGACGACAUCAUCCCGGUCUGCAAGGCCGUCCUCGAGGCUUUCCGCGACCUCGGCACCAGGGGCAACCGCCAGAAGACGCGCAUGAUGUGGCUCAUCGACGAGCUCGGGAUGGAGGCGUUCCGGUCGGAGAUCGAGAAGAGGAUGCCGAACGGCGUGCUGGAGCGCGCGGCGGCCGAGGACCUGAUCGACAAGAAGUGGGAGCGGCGCGACUACCUCGGCGUGCACCCGCAGAAGCAGGAGGGGCUCUCCUUCGUGGGCCUGCACGUGCCCGUCGGCCGGCUGCAGGCCGCCGACAUGUUCGAGCUGGCCCGCCUCGCCGACGAGUACGGCUCCGGCGAGCUCCGCCUCACCGUGGAGCAGAACAUCGUCCUCCCCAACGUCAAGAACGAGAAGGUGGAAGCUCUGCUCGCCGAGCCGCUGCUGCAGAAGUUCUCGGCGCACCCGUCGCUGCUGAUGAAGGGGCUGGUGGCGUGCACGGGCAACCAGUUCUGCGGGCAGGCCAUCAUCGAGACCAAGGCGCGGGCGCUGCAGGUGACGCGCGACGUGGAGGCGCGCGUGUCCGUGCCCAGGGCGGUGCGCAUGCACUGGACGGGGUGCCCCAACAGCUGCGCGCAGGUGCAGGUGGCCGACAUCGGCUUCAUGGGCUGCCUCACCAAGAACAGCAGCGGCAAGAUCGUCGAGGCGGCGGACAUCUUCGUCGGCGGCCGCGUCGGCAGCGACUCGCACCUCACCGGGGUGUACAAGAAGGCGGUGCCGUGCGAGGACCUGGUGCCCCUCGUCGCCGACCUCCUGGUGGAGCGGUUCGGGGCCGUGCCCAGGGAGAGGGAGGAGGACGAGGAGUAG
rnacentral:rRNA from 1 species